rfam:Ascochyta rabiei strain ArDII scaffold_336, whole genome shotgun sequence.
GCAUCGGUGGUUUAGUGGUAAAAUUAGCCGUUGCCAUCCCUCACGGGACAGUUUCGGCUAGCCCCGGGUUCGAUUCCCGGCCGAUGCA